rnacentral:rRNA from 1 species
AGCGAACGCUGGCGGCAGGCCUAACACAUGCAAGUCGAACGAACUCUUCGGAGUUAGUGGCGGACGGGUGAGUAACACGUGGGAACGUGCCUUUAGGUUCGGAAUAACUCAGGGAAACUUGUGCUAAUACCGAAUGUGCCCUUCGGGGGAAAGAUUUAUCGCCUUUAGAGCGGCCCGCGUCUGAUUAGCUAGUUGGUGAGGUAAAGGAUCACCAAGGCGACGAUCAGUAGCUGGUCUGAGAGGAUGAUCAGCCACAUUGGGACUGAGACACGGCCCAAACUCCUACGGGAGGCAGCAGUGGGGAAUCUUGCGCAAUGGGCGAAAGCCUGACGCAGCCAUGCCGCGUGAAUGAUGAAGGUCUUAGGAUUGUAAAAUUCUUUCACCGGGGACGAUAAUGACGGUACCCGGAGAAGAAGCCCCGGCUAACUUCGUG